UUACGGCCAUAUGACGUUAAAACACAUGUUCCCGAACGAUCACCGAAGUUAAGCAACGCCGAGCCUGGUUAGUACCUAGAGAAGUAACCGCUUGGGAAUACUAGGUGUUGUAAG